UAAAAAGUUAAUAAUUUAUCUCUGAUUUUUUUUUGUUAAAACAUACGUAGAAACUAAAUAAAUCAUUUUUUUAUAUAAGAAAUUUGUAAAUAUAACAAUAAUUUUCCGUUUCAUAAAAAUUUUACUUACAAUUUUGAUCAAUUUUUUUCCAGCUUUCCUUCCUACAGAACAUACGCUUAAUGUCAUUAGGGUAUAGGAUAUAUACUUAUUUUAGUUGGUUUAGUAUUUACUUUAUAAUGAACGUCAAUAAUUCAAAUUUUAAAUAAUCUCCAUCAAGCUAAAAGAAAAGUUUAAUAAAAUUGCUUAUGAUUAA
rnacentral:misc_RNA from 1 species